rnacentral:rRNA from 1 species
GAUGAACGCUGGCGGCGUGCCUAAUACAUGCAAGUCGAGCGGAGCGGGGACGGGUGAGUAACACGUGGAUAACCUCCUAUAAGACUGGGAUAACUUCGGGAAACCGGAGCUAAACCGGAUACUUAUACAUGGAUCCGCGCUGCAUUAGCUAGUUGGUAAGGUAACGGCUUACCAAGGCAACGAUGCAUAGCCGACCUGAGAGGGUGACCGGCCACACUGGAACUGAGACACGGUCCAGACUCCUACGGGAGGCAGCAGUAGGGAAUAUUCCGCAAUGGGCGAAAGCCUGACGGAGCAACGCCGCGUGAGUGAUGAAGGUCUUCGGAUCGUAAAAUUCUGUUAGCAGGGAAGCGGUACCUAAACAGAAAGCACCGGCUAACUACGUGCCAGCAGCCGCGGUAAUUC